UACACAAAUAAGCCCAGACAUCACAGGUUAUGUAACAUGUGCGACAAUGGAUAUAUAGAAAACGAGUAUCAUUUCCUUUUAGUGUGUACUGUAUACAGUUCCUUGCGCACUAUAUAUAUUCCUGCCAAGUUUUACACAUACCCUUCUUUGUCAAAUUACAAUAUAUUGAUGACCUCAAACAACACCUUUGAUUGAUUAAUUGAU